UACGUAGGGGGCUAGCGUUGUCCGGAAUCAUUGGGCGUAAAGCGCGUGUAGGCGGUCCGGUAAGUCCGCUGUGAAAGUCGGGGGCUCAACCCUCGAAUGCCGGUGGAUACUGUCGGGCUAGAGUGCGGAAGAGGCGAGUGGAAUUCCUGGUGUAGCGGUGAAAUGCGCAGAUAUCAGGAGGAACACCAAUUGCGAAGGCAGCUCGCUGGGACGUAACUGACGCUGAGAUGCGAAAGCGUGGGGAGCAAACAGG
rnacentral:rRNA from 1 species